rnacentral:lncRNA from 1 species
CCCCGCUCUCGCUGCUCACGUGCCGCGCAGGUGAUCCUGAUGGGCCUGGUGGAGGGCUACCGUGUGAACGGCGGCCCGGCCGGCGAGGGCCUGGACCCGCUGUACCCCGGCGAGUCGUUCGACCCCCUGGGCCUGGCUGACGACCCGGACACCUUCGCCGAGCUCAAGGUCAAGGAGAUCAAGAACGGCCGCCUGGCCAUGUUCUCCAUGUUCGGCUUCUUCGUGCAGGCCAUUGUGACCGGCAAGGGGCCCAUUGAGAACCUGAACGACCAUCUGGCCAACCCGGCCGUCAACAACGCCUUCGCCUUCGCCACCAAGUUCACGCCCAGCGCGUAAUGUAUCGCUGCUACGUUUGCUAGUCGAAGCGGUUGUCCGCAUCUGCCGGCCGCUGCUGCCUUCAGCUACGUUACGUUGUUUAGCUAUGUGAACGUAGACACAACAUACCCAAUAAACUGCCAAUACCGGUAUACGAGACGUCACAUGCAUAGCAAUUGCAGGCAGUAGUUGCCUAUCCGUCGCUGUUGGGUAAAUACGCUUGGAUGCGCAGCUUGCCAAAACUGUUGAGUGAUGCGUGGGUGCUUGUCAGUUAUUUCCAUCGAACCUCGUUGUCGCACUGUGGCCACCUCUGUUUUUAAUGUCGUGUUCCUGCGAUGAGUUCCCGCGUGGUGAGUGGUGAGCAGCGGCGGAAGCGGUCCUGUUACGGGCCUGAAGUUUUGAUGUGGGUGUUUCCCAGUAGGGGUUUCCCACAGCACGGGUGUUGAGGUGGAGCUCUUACUUUUGGGUGGGGUAUUGGGCGGUGAGACGUGAGAUAUCAAGAGCUUCAUACAAAGCGCAUGCACGUGCUGGGUGCGUUGCGCCAAGCAAGCUCCUGUAACAUUUCGGUGUUCAUGACAUAAGGAAGGUCUCGGUUCCAGUGCUUGUUUCACCGCUUCUUGGGGCGGGAGCACAUACAGCCAUUUUGGUGGGCGCGUACUGCAAAGGCGGCCACGCAAACAGGCACACAUGGAGAACACGCGCGAGACACGAGCUAAAGGAACAUGUCAUUCAGAGGGAUGAUUCGAGGUGCAUAUGGCCACGCUCUAUCGCGCGAAAGAAGCCAAGGGUUAUCGUGGCUUUCCUGUGUUAGCGAAGUGAGCUAGGCGCUUAAUCGCGGGUUGAUGGCCUCGGUUGUCGUACAGUGCAAGAGUUAAACUUCAGCAAACCACGUUGGUAGGUCACUCCCCGCCGACAUCAUCACUGGCGCGGCAUAGGUCAUCGCCAAUCCCUCUAGCGUACAGCGGCCUCGGCCUCCGCGAACCAGGCUCGCUACCUUCCUCACAGCCAGGAACUACGUUGCCACUGGAAGGUACCCCGAUGCACCAAGAAGGCUUAUUGUGGCGCUCGCCUCGGGCUUAUGUGUCCCGUUUCGGAUAGCACAGCAUCAGCACCACGAAAAACCUGCCGAUAUGCAUAACAAAAAAUCACACACACACACCAACACACACACACAUACUUACAAACACAAACACACACAAACACAAACCACACACUCACUCUCUUUCUUUUUCUUGUCAUGCAGAAACACACAGACGCACACCCACACCCACACACAUGCACACACGCGCACACACAUGCACACACACACACACACACGCACACACACGCACAUACGCACACGCACACGCCACACUUAAGUCGAAGGAAAAAGGCACGAAGUCGGACUGGAGCCUUGUAAUGAGUGAUGCCGUUACCUGGAUUACAGUCCGGUGUAGAACCAUGGGACGUGCAAUGAUAUGGAGUCUUAAAAGCUCGGCAACCAGAUGGACGCCGCUGCAUGCUGGCUACUGCUUUCAGUAUCACCCUGGCUGGCAGGCCCCUUUCGAUCAGUUUCGCAUCCGCAAGGCCAGAGCAUGCAGCAUCGCCAAUGGUUUGACCACCUGCUCCCGUAACUUAAGAACCAAAUACCGAAUGCCAGUGCCAUGGGUCCAGUACUCCCCCAGAAAGGCAGGAUGACACACAAAUAGGCUACCCGCUGUCCCUUGUCUAUCUGGUACUGCCCCGCGACUUUAUGCAUAAAACUGCUGGUCACAAGAAGUUCUUCUUUGUUCCUUUCACAGUUCAAUUGGUAGCCUGAAGCUAAGCAUGCGUGGAGUGCUGAACAUGUAGCGUGCGUGGUGAAACCCCUGGCAAAAGAGGUAACAAACAGAGGGCGUGCUGGCGUUCCGUUCAGUACUUCAGAGGUCAAAGGCAAGCCAUGGGCAAAGUAGGAGCUUUUCCCAGGUGCCAGCCUUAGGCUCCGACGUUUGGAAGCCCGUGGCCGAUUGUAAGUUGCGAAGAGCUCAUGCGUUUGGUCGAGGCCGACCGUCCUCCCUUGAUCGGACGACAGGUUGCUACGCACGUGCUUGUUGCUUUCCUUCGGUCCUAAACGGCCUCCGGUUCGGCGCUGUCGCCCUUUUGCGGUCCAGCAGAGCUUGGACCUUGUGUUCACCGGCCCUGUCCGGGAUGGAAUGCCCUUUGCCGUCCUAAGCAGCGUGACCCAUUAUAUCAGCUUGCUUCCUAGCAAGGACAACAGCUACUGUCCUCCCGUCCUACGGUACUGGUAAUGAGUAAAGGCCGAACAGCUAGGGUCAAACAUGGAGAGACCACUUUUGGCGCCUAAAGAAUGCAUUGCAGUGCGUAUCAAAAUCCAUGUUCAGCGUGCACGUCACAGCAUUUAUACAGUCGCCACUGAGUUAUCCCUGCAUCAGAAACUUGUAUGAAACUUGCAAGCAGGUGUAGCAAAUCGUUCAUGCCAAUCUGUGCAAGUGCAGAUAGCUGUUAAGCGCAUGUGUUGCAGGUGUGCCAUGUCUGUAUCCUGCGAUCUCUGUUAGGUAAGCGCCCUGUCCCACGGACAGGACAGGGAUACGGCGUGCGUACGGCAUCAAGAUUUGCUUGCAAAACAAAAGCGCUGGUUGCCUGUGCUUUCAGUAUCAGUUCUCUCCUUUGUGCAGCAGAGUCUGAUCACCUUACGAACAUCUAAAAUGGCUUUCGCUCUCGGCACCUCGCGCGAGGCUCUGCAGGUCGCAUGCAAGGCGACCGGCAAGAAGGCCGCUGCUAAGGUCCGUUUUAUUUCGACACCAUUUAUUUUAUCAGCGUACCUUACAUAGACGCACAUACGUAUUUGCAGUGUCCUCUGGCUAACCAGAGACGUUUGUCCCGUUCGCAACAUCUUUACAGCCGGCUGCCCCCAAGAGCUCUGGCAUCGAGUGGUAUGGCCCGAACCGCGCUAAGUGGCUCGGUAGGUUAUCCUGGAGAUCCGAGGAGAUCCGAUAUGCAGCGGGUGUAGCGCGUAUCGGAGGGCCGGAAUAAUCGGUCGGUCUCCUGCAUGGUCCUCCUUUCGGCGCAACAUGCCGCAGCGUCAGGUUUCUGUGCGCAGGCUGCUCUCUCGGUCCUUUGCUGACAUCGCGCGAUGCAUGCUGCGAUGAAGGGCACAGGUUGCGUCUUUCCCCCUUUCGCGACCUGCCGUUCAGUAGCCCGCUGCCGCCGUAUGUCCGCUUUCCCCUUCUGUGCCCACAUCGGACAGGCCCCUACAGCGAGAAUGCCACCCCUGCCUACCUGACUGGCGAGUUCCCCGGUGACUACGGCUGGGACACUGCUGGCCUGUCUGCUGACCCGGAGACGUUCAAGCGCUACCGCGAGCUGGAGCUGAUCCAUGCACGCUGGGCCAUGCUUGGCGCUCUGGGCUGCCUGACCCCCGAGCUGCUGUCCAAGAACGGCGUGCAGUUCGGUGAGGCUGUGUGGUUCAAGGCCGGCGCUCAGAUCUUCCAGGAGGGCGGCCUGGACUACCUGGGCAACCCGUCGCUGGUGCACGCUCAGAACAUCGUCGCGACGCUGGCGUGCCAGGUGGGCGGGAGGGACGUGGCUGCAUGCUUAGGAAUGUGUCCGGUCGCCUUACUUGUUAGCUGGCUAGGUGAAACAAGGUGGGGCGCGGCAACUGUGCUGCCAGCCCUUGACUGUUGCAAGCUCCCCUGCCUUUUGCGCGCUCUUACAUUCAGCUUGGGUUUGGAUUCCUAGUCGCAGCCUUGUGACAUGUGAGCAUUGUGCGCUAUCGCACGCACAUCCAGGAAUCUGGGUGUCUCGUUUCCUAUCCAGCUUGGUUUUAUUGCAGGCCGUACCCUGGCGUGUUGCUUAUCCGUAUUGACCGCUGUCUUCUCCCCCGCUCUCGCUGCUCACGUGCCGCGCAGGUGAUCCUGAUGGGCCUGGUGGAGGGCUACCGUGUGAACGGCGGCCCGGCCGGCGAGGGCCUGGACCCGCUGUACCCCGGCGAGUCGUUCGACCCCCUGGGCCUGGCUGACGACCCGGACACCUUCGCCGAGCUCAAGGUCAAGGAGAUCAAGAACGGCCGCCUGGCCAUGUUCUCCAUGUUCGGCUU